rnacentral:rRNA from 1 species
ACGUACGCUGGCGGCACGCCUAAUACAUGCAAGUCGAACGAAGUAGCAAUACUUAGUGGCAGACGGGUGAGUAACAUGUGGGUAUCUUCCCUUUGGUGAGGAAUAACACGAGGAAACUUGUGCUAAUACCUCAUAAGUCUUUACGGAGAAAGCUUUAUGCGCCAUUGGAUGAGCCCGCACUUGAUUAGUUUGUUGGUAGGGUAAUGGCCUACCAAGACUGUGAUCAAUAGCUGAUUUGAGAGGAUGAUCAGCCACAUUGGGACUGAGACACGGCCCAAACUCCUACGGGAGGCAGCAGUAGGGAAUCUUGCACAAUGGAGGAAACUCUGAUGCAGCGAUGCCGCGUGAGUGAAGAAGGCCUUUGGGUUGUAAAGCUCUUUCGUCGGGGAAGAAAAUGACUGUACCCGAAUAAGAAGGUCCGGCUAACUUCGUGCCAGCAGCCGCGGUAAUACGAAGGGACCUAGCGUAGUUCGGAAUUACUGGGCUUAAAGAGUUCGUAGGUGGUUAAAAUAGUUGGUGGUGAAAUCCCAGAGCUUAACUCUGGAACUGCCAUCAAAACUUUUUAGCUAGAGUAUGAUAGAGGAAAGCAGAAUUUCUAGUGUAGAGGUGAAAUUCGUAGAUAUUAGAAAGAAUACCGAUUGCGAAGGCAGCUUUCUGGAUCAUUACUGACACUGAGGAACGAAAGCAUGGGUAGCGAAGAGGAUUAGAUACCCUCGUAGUCCAUGCCGUAAACGAUGUGUGUUAGACGUUGGAAAUUUAUUUUCAGUGUCGCAGCGAAAGCGAUAAACACACCGCCUGGGGAGUACGACCGCAAGGUUAAAACUCAAAUGAAUUGACGGGGACCCGCACAAGUAGUGGAGCAUGUGGUUUAAUUCGAAGAUACGCGCAGAACCUUACCAACACUUGACAUGUUCGUCGCGACUCUAAGAGAUUAGAGUUUUCGGUUCGGCCGGACGAAACACAGGUGCUGCAUGGCUGUCGUCAGCUCGUGUCGUGAGAUGUUGGGUUAAGUCCCGCAACGAGCGCAACCCUCACUUUUAGUUGCCAUCAUUAAGUUGGGCACUCUGAAAGAACUGCCAGUGAUAAGCUGGAGGAAGGUGGGGAUGACGUCAAGUCCUCAUGGCCCUUACGUGUUGGGCUACACACGUGCUACAAUGGCAUUUACAAUAGGAAGCAAAAUGGCGACAUUAAGCAAAUCCUAAAAAAAUGCCUCAGUUCGGAUUGUACUCUGCAACUCGAGUACAUGAAGCUGGAAUUACUAGUAAUCGCGGAUCAGCGCGCCGCGGUGAAUACGUUCCCGGGUCUUGUACACACCGCCCGUCACACCAUGGGAGUUGGUUCUACCUUAAGGCAAAGUUUAAAACCUUUGACCACGGUAUAGUCAGCGACUGGGGUG